rnacentral:rRNA from 1 species
GUGGGGAAUCUUGGACAAUGGGCGAAAGCCUGAUCCAGCCAUGCCGCGUGGAUGAUGAAGGCCCUAGGGUUGUAAAAUCCUUUCGUUGGGGACGAUAAUGACGGUACCCAAAGAAGAAGCUCCGGCUAACUUCGUGCCAGCAGCCGCGGUAAUACGAAGGGGGCUAGCGUUGUUCGGAUUUACUGGGCGUAAAGCGCGUGUAGGCGGGUCGUUAAGUUGGGGGUGAAAUCCCGAGGCUCAACCUCGGAACUGCCUUCAAAACUGGCGACCUGGACCCAAGUAGAGGCAAGUGGAAUUGCGAGUGUAGAGGUGAAAUUCGUAGAUAUUCGCAGGAACACCAGUGGCGAAGGCGACUUGCUGGACUUGUGGUGACGCUGAGACGCGAAAGCGUGGGGAGCAAACAGGAUUAGAUACCCCUGUAGUCC